UGAUGACUCAGCUACACCUCUUCCAGAAACACCUGUGUUCCUUGAAGUUCUCCCAUUCGACUACUUGUCCAGCUUUACCAUGCUUAGUUUAUCAGUGAGAGCUGCGGGGGCAGUGCCUGCAGGUGGAGGCAGCAUGUGGAGCUAGCAGCUGAGAGGGAGGGACAUGUCGCCACUUCCAGGGGCUUCCUAAGGAUUCAAGGAAUGAAGGCAAUGAAUGGGACUUGCAAGUGAAGAAACUGGAUCAAAAUGUGUUUAAAAACAUUG